UAUUAGCCCGGAUUGAAACGGCAUCCUUUUUGGGUGCGGGCGAAGCGAAGCGGAGCCCGUACCUCAAAAGAUAUAGUGGAAAGCCGGAAAUAGC
rnacentral:sRNA from 1 species